rnacentral:SRP_RNA from 1 species
GCCGUGCGUGGUGGCGCACGCCUGUAGUCCCAGCUACUCGGGAGGCUGAGGCAGGAGGAUCGCUUGAGCCAGGAGUUCUGGGCUGUAGUGCGCUAUGCCGAUCGGGUGUCCGCGCUAAGUUCGGCAUCAAUAUGGUGACCUCCCGGGAGUGGGGGACCACCAGGUUGCCUAAGGAGGGGUGAACCGGGCCAGGUCGGAAACAGAGCAGGUCAAAACUCCCGUGCUGAUCAUACGAAAAGGAAUCAUUUUUAUAUUUGUUAUUAUAUCUAAUUUUUAUACAACAAAUAUAUUUUAU